CCAGGUCAUUCUCACUCUGAUUCAAUUAGAUUACUAUCAAGUGAUACUUCAUGAGUCUUUUUUCAACUAAGUCAAGUUUUACAUAAUAAAGCAAAUGAAAGUAAUUAC